AUCUGGUUUUGUCCUGCCAGUAGUCAUACGCUCGUCUCAAAGAUUAAGCCAUGCAUGUGUAAGUAUAAAUAAUUUUACUUUGAAACUGCGAAUGGCUCAUUAUAUCAGUUAUAGUUUAUUAGAAAUAUUUUACUACUUGGAUAACCGUAGUAAUUCUAGGGCUAAUACAUGAGUAAAACCUCAACUUCGGAAGAGGUGUGUUUAUUAGUAUGAAAACCAUAUAUCUUCGGAUAUAAUAGUGAGUAAUAAUAACCUUUCAUAUCGUAUGUCGUAAGAUAACGAUAGUUCUUUCAAGUUUCUGCCCUAUCAGCUUUCGAUGGUAGUAUAUGGGACUACCAUGGCAGUAACGGGUAACGAAGAAUUUGGGUUCGAUUUCGGAGAGGGAGCCUGAGAGAUGGCUACCACAUCCAAGGAAGGCAGCAGGCGCGUAAAUUACCCAAUCCUGACAUAGGGAGGUAGUGACAAUAAAUCACAAUGCGGAACUUUUAGUUUUGCAAUUGGAUUGAGAACAAUGUACAAAUGUUAUCGAUAAACAAUUGGAGGGCAAGUCUGGUGCCAGCAGCCGCGGUAAUUCCAGCUCCAAUAGCGUAUAUUAACGUUGUUGCAGAAAAAAAAGCUC
rnacentral:rRNA from 1 species